UAGGGAAUCUUCGGCAAUGGACGGAAGUCUGACCGAGCAACGCCGCGUGAGUGAAGAAGGUUUUCGGAUCGUAAAGCUCUGUUGUUAGAGAAGAACGUUGGUAGGAGUGGAAAAUCUACCAAGUGACGGUAACUAACCAGAAAGGGGCGGCUAACUACGUGCCAGCAGCCGCGGUAAUACGUAGGUCCCGAGCGUUGUCCGGAUUUAUUGGGCGUAAAGCGAGCGCAGGCGGUUCUUUAAGUCUGAAGUUAAAGGCAGUGGCUUAACCAUUGUACGCUUUGGAAACUGGAGGACUUGAGUGCAGAAGGGGAGAGUGGAAUUCCAUGUGUAGCGGUGAAAUGCGUAGAUAUAUGGAGGAACACCGGUGGCGAAAGCGGCUCUCUGGUCUGUAACUGACGCUGAGGCUCGAAAGCGUGGGGAGCAAACAGGAUUAGAUACCCUGGUAGUCCACGCCGUAAACGAUGAGUGCUAGGUGUUAGGCCCUUUCCGGGGCUUAGUGCCGCAGCUAACGCAUUAAGCACUCCGCCUGGGGAGUACGACCGCAAGGUUG
rnacentral:rRNA from 1 species